GUCCACCUACGGGAGGCAGCAGUAGGGAAUCUUCCACAAUGGGCGAAAGCCUGAUGGAGCAACGCCGCGUGGGAGAAGAAGGUCUUCGGAUCGUAAAACCCUGUUGUUAGAGAAGAAAGUGCGUGAGAGUAACUGUUCACGUUUCGACGGUAUCUAACCAGAAAGCCACGGCUAACUACGUGCCAGCAGCCGCGGUAAUACGUAGGUGGAAAGCGUUAUCCGGAUUUAUUGGGCGUAAAGGGAACGCAGGCGGUCUUUUAAGUAUGAUGUGAAAGCCUUCGGCUUA
rnacentral:rRNA from 1 species